rnacentral:rRNA from 1 species
GAUGAACGCUGGCGGCGUGCCUAACACAUGCAAGUCGAACGAAGCUUGACGGAUGAUUUCUUCGGAAUGAAACCAGAUAUGACUUAGUGGCGGACGGGUGAGUAACACGUGAGCAACCUGCCUUUCAGAGGGGGAUAACGGCUGGAAACGGUCGCUAAUACCGCAUGAUGUGUUCGGAUGGCAUCAUCUGAACAUCAAAGAUUUAUCGCUGAAAGAUGGGCUCGCGUCUGAUUAGAUAGUUGGUGGGGUAACGGCCUACCAAGUCUACGAUCAGUAGCCGGACUGAGAGGUUGAACGGCCACAUUGGGACUGAGAUACGGCCCAGACUCCUACGGGAGGCAGCAGUGGGGAAUAUUGCACAAUGGGGGAAACCCUGAUGCAGCAACGCCGCGUGAAGGAUGACGGUUUUCGGAUUGUAAACUUCUUUUCUUAGUGACGAAGACAGUGACGGUAGCUAAGGAAUAAGCAUCGGCUAACUACGUG